GGGUGACCUUAGGCCAGUCACAUCCUCUCAGCCUAACCUACCUUACAGGGUUGUUGUGAGCAUAAAAUGGAGAAGGAGGAGAACCAUAUGCGCCACCUUGAGCUCCUUGGAGGAAAGAUGUUGAAAUCUACUUCUGCUGCAUUGAGACCUGUACAACCACAUUCUCCCAAGUCGCAUCACCAUCCUCCCUCCCUCUAAACUACAUCUGUGUGCUGAGCUACCAGACAGGGAUGCAUACAUAUAGUGGUCCUAUGCCUUUAUCACCUACCUGGAAGCUGGCAGGAUUUUAAGAGUUGAAGAAUUUUUGCCUCUCAUGCGCCAAUUAAAG